GAAAAAAAAAGGCAAUGAAAAUAUGUGUUGGGAAACCAGCUAUUUUUCACCUGAUUUCACAGGGAGGUUUGGCUGGAAAAAGGCAAUGAUGGCCUAUUUUAAGCCCAUGUUUUUGUACUGGAGAUGUAGAGAAUCAUCAGGAAGGCCUCGAGAUUCAAUUUGAAGAUUCCACAUCAAGGAGAAAUGGCCAUAUUCCUAUGUAAGGAGUCAUCCCAAGCCUAAGGCAAUUUGCAGGAGCUCUCAGUUCUGACUGAAUUUUGUAGCCUGCUUUGAAACAUGUCAGAGGAAGGAGACUCCAUAGUUUGCUUGGGUGAAAUAUUCUCCUGUUCUCCUACCC